CAGUAGCCGCGGUAAUACGGAGGGAGCUAGCGUUGUUCGGAAUUACUGGGCGUAAAGCGCGCGUAGGCGGUUACUCAAUUCAGAGGUGAAAGCCCGGGGCUCAACCCCGGAACUGCCUUUGAAACUAGGUGACUAGAAUCUUGGAGAGGUCAGUGGAAUUCCGAGUGUAGAGGUGAAAUUCGUAGAUAUUCGGAAGAACACCAGUGGCGAAGGCGACUGACUGGACAAGUAUUGACGCUGAGGUGCGAAAGCGUGGGGAGCAAACAGGAUUAGAUACCCCCGUAGUCCCUGUCCUCUUAUA
rnacentral:rRNA from 1 species